ensembl:snRNA U6 U6 spliceosomal RNA
GUACUUGUUUUGGCAGCACAUUUACUAAAAUUGGAAAUACACAGAGAAGAUUAGCAUGGCCCCUGUGCAAGGAUGACAUGGAAAUACUGAAAACAAUGCAUAAUUUU